AGCGGUCGUACGCCAAUUACCAUGUUUCUCUUUUAUUAGACAGGAUUCUCAACUGUAGAAAAAAUGAAUAUUGUGACCAAGUCUUUUUCAAAUCACUUAA